rnacentral:rRNA from 1 species
UACGGAGGGUGCGAGCGUUGUCCGGAAUCACUGGGCGUAAAGGGCGCGUAGGCGGCCUGAUAAGUAGGGGGUGAAAUCCUGAGGCUUAACCUCAGGGCUGCCUUCUAAACUGUCAGGCUCGAGCACAGUAGAGGCAGGUGGAAUUCCCGGUGUAGCGGUGGAAUGCGUAGAGAUCGGGAAGAACAUCGGUGGCGAAGGCGGCCUGCUGGGCUGUUGCUGACGCUGAGGCGCGACAGCGUGGGGAGCAAACAGG